rnacentral:rRNA from 1 species
UACGUAGGGGGCUAGCGUUGUCCGGAAUCAUUGGGCGUAAAGAGCGUGUAGGCGGCCCGGUAAGUCCGCUGUGAAAGUCGGGGGCUCAACCCUCGGAUGCCGGUGGAUACUGUCGGGCUCGAGUACGGAAGAGGCGAGUGGAAUUCCUGGUGUAGCGGUGAAAUGCGCAGAUAUCAGGAGGAACACCUAUUGCGAAGGCAGCUCGCUGGGACGUUACUGACGCUGAGACGCGAAAGCGUGGGGAGCAAAUAGG